CCUAUCGUUGCUGGGUACCAGGUGACUCAUGACGUAGCAGAGCAAGCCUGUGCCACAGCAUCUCCUCCUCCUCUGGGCAGCUGGGAGUUGUGGAAGGUCAGUACAGUGAAGGACAAUGUCUGCACAUCUCAGAUUUUAGAUUUCAUUCCCUUCAAAAUAACCUGUGGAGGUGGGAAAGUGCUAACGCAGACUCCUGUGGACCUGAAAACCUUUAUUUUGACUGAUUUGACAGAUCUUCUGCAUGAAAACAUUCAGGCUGCGACUUUUUCGGAGACAGAAGUCAAUAUCCUAACUUCUCUAAAGAAACAGCUGAAUACCCCCCUCUCAGUGGGGAACCUUCAAGAAUAAGUGAAGUAAAAAUUGCUGAUUGCAGAUUGUCUGGCAUCUGAAAUGUAAUGCAGUAAUGAAACACUGUUAAGAAAAAUCAAUAAAUUCCCCAACAUGCUGGUUGCUGUUUGAAAAUGUCUCAUUUCUUCCAUGUUACAAAUUAUAUCCUCCUGCGUCAG
ensembl:lincRNA